GUUUCCCGAAGAAUUUAGAACAAUUUCUCCAUCCCAUUUAAUAUUGUGAUGCAAAACAAAGCGGAGGAUGAUUUUGACGGAGGAAGAGCUUAAUGCUUUGCUGGUUUUUGUGGGGCCGCAGCUGCUACUUGCUUCACAUGGCAAGGGAAUAACGACAUAUAGUUGGCAUGCGAUACGUGGCAUACAUGCAAGCAAAGACAAAGCAAAAGUGAGCACCUUUCGGUGACUUUUACCCUAUUACUCUGUACUAUCGCCCCUGACCCACCAAGACAUGAAUGUUUGCUUGGCAUUUUUACCUCCACUGUGAGUCAACUGAACUGGCUGCCAAUGCCAUUGGAGCAAGAUGGUUAAAACUUAAAAUCCAAGUCCAACCUCAUCCAACGAUGUGCUGAGCUAAUAGUUAGCUUUGAGGUAAGACAUGAAAUCGUUUCUACUUUGAAUUUGGGAAUGUUUCAAAUGUUCUGUUUUCCAUCUAUCUACUAGAAUUUUAAAAUUUUUAGUCUACUUUAAGACGAUAAAUACAAAUGCGAUUCUU